AAGUCGUAACAAGGUUUCCGUAGGUGAACCUGCGGAAGGAUCAUUAAUAAAGUGAAUGUCGAGUGGGGUUGUAGCUGGCCUCUCGGGGCAUGUGCACACCUCCAUCGCACAUCCAACCUCUUACACACCUGUGCACAACCUUUUUAUAGCCUCUUAGGAUGAUUAUGGAGUUGGAAACGACUUCAGAAAACCCUUGGCUAUAAAUCUUUACACACAUACACUUAUAAAAGUCAUAGAAUGUUUUGUAGCGUGCAGCAGCACAAAUAAAUACAACUUUCAGCAACGGAUCUCUUGGCUCUC
rnacentral:misc_RNA from 1 species